AACAAUCUUUUUUUUUUUUUUUACUUCAUUUUCUUAGUUUUCUUUGUCGUUCAUGAAAAGGAAACCAUGCUAGUCUAGUUGUAAACUAGACAUUGUAAACUUCUUUGUCGUUCAUAAAAAGGAAACCGUACUGGUCUAGUUGCAAACUAGACAAUGAGGAAACACUUGAGGCUUCUGCUGCUGUAUGUUUUUUUGUUGACGUUGUUGUUGUCGUCACCCUGGUAACUGAAUAUUGUUUAAUGUGUUGUGAGACAUCGUAGAGUUUAUCUCAAGCUGUUUAAGAUGGUAAUGUGCACAUGCGAAUAGACACUUAUCUAUACUAUGGGUAAGUUUUCUUUAGCCUAUAAUAGAUGUUCAUAAAAACAAGUGAGGGGGAAAAAUAUAUAUAUAUAUAUAUUUCGAAUAUCAGCCCUGGUUUAAACAGACUUGCGAACUCAGCCAAGCAGUACUUGGCCCCUUAAGCCAAAUGUCACUUGGUGCCCCUCCGGGACGGGGUCCCCGACGACGGGAGUCCUUAGAACCCUAGCCGCUCCCCUCCAGGGCCCUUGCUCCCACACUGGCCUGGUCUGGAGUUCGUCACAGAAUCAGGGGACGUUAGAGUCCUGAGAAGGCCUUAGGGACGUUCUAAUCCAACAGAAGGGAAAACUGAGCACAGAGAGGCAGAGCAACCUGCCCGAGGCUGCCAAGCUGGUCAAUGGGACCAGUAUCUGUGUCUCUUUAUCCCCCGAUCUCUGUCACCCCAAUGUUAUCUCUCUGUUGUUUUUGUUUUUUAUAACCUGAGUCCUGAGAUUCAAAUGAAAACUAGAGGCUGUACCGGUUUGAAUUGCACUUGGCGACAUUCACUUAAACUGAAAGGACGUUUAUUUAUUCCUAUUUACUUACAGGAAGGCUGGAAGAGUGGUGACUUCGUGUUUGUGUUUUCACUCACUCAGAGCUAUCAACAAAGAACCAGGCUUCUGCAUUGCCACCAACGUGGCUUUCUAUCCUCAUGGUCACAAGAUGGUUGCUGAAGCUCCAGGCAUUGCCUCUUCACUUCAGCAUUCCGAGCAGAAAAGAAUGGGGAGAAACAAAAUCAUAUUUCCUUUUACCUAGCUAAAAGGAAGUGUCCUGACCAAUUUGCAAAGAAAGAUUCUUUUCCUGUCUUUCUUAGAAAUCCACUUGUCUACACGGUAGAAUGAAAAUCCCUCCAGCUGGGCCAGUCUGGUUGCUCCUGUGCUCUGUAGCUGAGCCAGGCCCUUCUCUCUUAGAUAAAGGCAUCGUGAAUCAAGUCUUUAGCGUCCAAGGGUGACGCGUGGACUGACACCAGCCUGAACAACGAACCAAGAAGAGAGACAGCUAUGAGCAGAGGGUCAAUGCUGACCUGUCCUUUCUAUGGAAAUGUGUGUUCGUAUUUCUAAGCAAUUAGACAGCUGCUGUGACAUUAUGGCCCUCCUGAUCCCAGAUGAACCAUCCACGUGACAUCAGUCGCAGCUUCCCCACGGCACCCUUGUGCUUGCCGGGUGCCAGGCUUGUGACUGUUAGCUCAUGUUCAGUGAAUCGUGCAGCCAACGAGAAGGAAAAAGUCGGAAGUUUUGCAGAAAUUGGGGGCAAGGCAGUCCAUAAAUUUUUACCGACUUCACCUUUUCCACCCAAAGUCACGUUGAUCAGGACAAUCAAAGGUAAACAUGUUUGCCGAGGAGGUAGAAUGAACUUUCCAUCCGAGACAGAAAUAGAACCCUUUCUUCCAAGCCCCUGCUGCAGCCCGUCACCUGUACGGGGUUGUCACAUGGGCAGGGCAUGCGAAGCCACCGAAGCUUCCGUUGAUGAUUAAAGACUCAAGUGGCACCGUGGCAUUUGUCAACAGCCACCAACGUCUCAGCAAAUGUGCUCCUCGUCAUUGAAAACCAGCCCUAUUGUGAGGCUUUAUUCCGCUUCUGAAUGGGGCUUGCAUUAUGCAAUAAUGGAGUCAGAAAAAGCAAAACACCAAGACACAGGCAAACGCCACUUUUCCUUUUGUGAGCGCCCUGCAGUGUGGCUUGCUGUGACUGGCGUUAAACUGAAUCCCACUCUAGGUUCAGUCCCGAGUGGCUUCUUUUUCAGGCCUUGGGACUUUCUGGUCAAAACAAAAGAGAUGGUUGAACCCAAUGCUUAAGUUCAAGAAGUGAAUGCUUAAGUUCAAAAUUCAAGAAUUCCUGCACUGCAAACAGGCUGAAGGUCUUGGUCUUGGUGUUGUUCUUCCUGGUCAUGGGUCCUAAACUUCCCAUGCUCCGACUCUGAAUUGGCAGAAAUCAUGGCAAAAUCGCUGUCCUGUAGCCGUGAUCCGCACAGCUCUAGAGGGAAAGAUGUGAGAAGUCAUUUUUGAGUAGCCUAUUGUUUUUUUCUUUUUUUUUUUUUUGAGACAGAGUCUUGCUUUGUUGCCCAGGCUAGAGUGAGUGCC